CACGGGGGGAGCAAGCGUUGUUCGGAAUCACUGGGCGUAAAGGGCGUGUAGGCGGUCAGGUAAGUGGAAUGUGAAAUCCCUCGGCUCACCCGAGGACCUGCAUCCCAAACUGCCUGGCUUGAGUAUGGGAGAGGAUGAGGGAAUUCCUGGUGUAGCGGUGAAAUGCGUAGAUAUCAGGAGGAACACCGGUGGCGAAGGCGCUCAUCUGGCCCAAUACUGACGCUGAGGCGCGAAAAGCUAGGGGAGCAAACGGG
rnacentral:rRNA from 1 species